rnacentral:lncRNA from 10 species
CCUUGGACCUGCUUGCAUGGGGAAUUGUGACAGAUUACUGGGCCCAUCACCUAGUAGAUGUUACUGUCUAUUUUUUACCUGGAUCCUGCCUACAGAAAGGAUUGUGACAAAUCAGUGGGCCAAGCAUCCCGGUGACGUGGCUCUUCUGUCUUAGCAAUUCCUAUAGUUGGAAUAGUGACAUAAACCUGGGUCAAGCAUCUGGGGGUAAUUUGUGACAUACUGCUGGACCCAGCACCCAGGUCAUUUGACUCUCCUGCCUUGGCCCUUCCCACAGAGGGCAUUGUGACAUUGAGUGGGCUCAGCAGCUAGGUGAUACGACUUUCCUGCCAGGACUCUUCCAACAGAAGGGACAUUGACCUACUCAGGCUCAGUAUUCAGUGUAUAAUGUCUUCAGCCUCCUGCUUCCGUCCUACCAGCACUCAACUCACAGAGGGGAUACUAAUACACCCCUGGCUGAGUAUUCAGUGGAGGGAUAUUGAUAUUUCCCCAGCCCAGCAUUCAGGGAGAGAUGUUGACUCUGGGCUUAAAGUAAUAGGGAACCAGACAUGAGAGUCCUAUCACCUGGGUGCUGGGAGCAGAGUCACAGCACCUAGGUGAUGGACCCAGAGAGAUGCCACAACGCCAUUUGUGGGCUGGGCCCUGGGAGAAGAAUAACAUCACCCGGUGCUGGGCCCAGCAAUAUGUUGCAAUCCCAACUGGAAAAAGGGUGUAAGAGUCAACAACUCCUGAGACUUAGGUUCAAGUGCAUGAGUCACAAUCUCAACAGUGGAUUGCAUCCUGCCAUGAGAGCCCCAAUCCCUUCUCCAAGCUGUGUUCCAGUAGAGGAGUCGCAACAUCAAUGGUGUGCUGAAUCCUGGUUGGAGAGUUCCCACUUCACCUGUGGACUGGAUCUGUAUAUAAGAGGAGAGAUGUCGACUCUCAUGCCUGGGCUUAGGGCAAUGGGCAUGAUCCUACAUUUGGGAUUGUAGCAACAACUCUUGACUGCCCUUGGGUGUGAGAUUCAGAACCUCAAUUGUGACCUGUGUACACUUGGGCAUGUGACAAUUUCUACUUUUGGCUGUGUGUUCAUACAAGACUCUCAAUCUCACCUGUGUUCUGGGCCCUGUUAUUAGACGCCAAUAGAUGAAAAAAGAUUCAAGGAAGACACAUUUGCUUUUUAUUCACUCAUCACUUCCCAUCACUAUGCUGACCAGAGUCAAUGUGAGCAGAGUUGAGAAUAGCAGUUUUCUGGCAGGAGAGCCACUUCUCAGCAAAAAAUGACACACUCAAAGUAUAAAUCUUUCAUGGAAGGCUCACAUAUUUUCAGCAAAUUAAGCAUAUGCAUGAAUAAAAUUCUUGUGGUGA